GGGUUGUGAGGUUAAGCGACUAAGCGUACACGGUGGAUGCCCUGGCAGUCAGAGGCGAUGAAGGACGUGCUAAUCUGCGAUAAGCGCCGGUAAGGUGAUAUGAACCGUUAUAACCGGCGAUUUCCGAAUGGGGAAACCCAGUGUGACUCGUCACACUAUCAUUAACUGAAUCCAUAGGUUAAUGAGGCGAACCGGGGGAACUGAAACAUCUAAGUACCCCGAGGAAAAGAAAUCAACCGAGAUUCCCCCAGUAGCGGCGAGCGAACGGGGAGGAGCCCAGAGCCUGAAUCAGCAUGUGUGUUAGUGGAAGCGUCUGGAAAGGCGCGCGAUACAGGGUGACAGCCCCGUACACAAAAGCGCAUGUGCUGUGAGCUCGAUGAGUAGGGCGGGACACGUGGUAUCCUGUCUGAAUAUGGGGGGACCAUCCUCCAAGGCUAAAUACUCCUGACUGACCGAUAGUGAACCAGUACCGUGAGGGAAAGGCGAAAAGAACCCCGGC
rnacentral:rRNA from 2 species